rnacentral:rRNA from 1 species
UACGGAGGGUGCAAGCGUUAUCCGGAUUCACUGGGCGUAAAGGGUGCGCAGGCGGCCAAGUGUGUGAGGCGUGAAAGCCCGGGGCUUAACCCCGGAAUUGCACCUCAAACUACAUGGCUAGAGCAUUGGAGAGGGUAGCAGAAUUCAUGGUGUAGCAGUGAAAUGCGUAGAUAUCAUGAGGAAUACCAGAGGCGAAGGCGGCUACCUGGACAAUUGCUGACGCUCAGGCACGAAAGCGUGGGGAGCAAAAGGG